rnacentral:rRNA from 1 species
CGUAGGGUGCGAGCGUUAAUCGGAAUUACUGGGCGUAAAGCGUGCGCAGGCGGUUUGUUAAGACAGAUGUGAAAUCCCCGGGCUUAACCUGGGAACUGCGUUUGUUACUGGCAAGCUAGAGUGUGUCAGAGGGAGGUAGAAUUCCACGUGUAGCAGUGAAAUGCGUAGAGAUGUGGAGGAAUACCGAUGGCGAAGGCAGCCUCCUGGGAUAACACUGACGCUCAUGCACGAAAGCGUGGGGAGCAAACAGGAUUAGAUACCCUGGUAGUCCACGCCCUAAACGAUGUCAACUAGUUGUUGGGUGACUUGAUCACUUAGUAACGUAGCUAACGCGUGAAGUUGACCGCCUGGGGAGUACGGUCGCAAGAUUA